rnacentral:rRNA from 1 species
AAUGAACGUUGGCGGCGUGGAUUAGGCAUGCAAGUCGAGCGAGAACCCCGCAAGGGGGGACAGCGGCGCAAGGGACAGUAAUGUGUAGAUCAUCUGCCCUCAGGUCCGGGAUAGCUGCGGGAAACUGCAGGUAAUACCGGAUAACAUCUCCGGAUCAAAGGUGUGAUUCCGCCUGAGGAUGAGCCUGCAUCCUAUUAGCUAGUUGGCAGGGUAACGGCCUACCAAGGCAUUGAUGGGUAGCGGGUGUGAGAGCACGACCCGCGUCAUUGGGACUGAGACACUGCCCAGACACCUACGGGUGGCUGCAGUCGAGAAUCUUCGGCAAUGGGCGCAAGCCUGACCGAGCGACGCCGCGUGUGGGAUGAAGGCCUUCGGGUUGUAAACCACUGUCAGAGGGGAUGAAAUGCAGGUGGGUUCUCCCAUCUGUUUGACAUAGCCUCAGAGGAAGGACGGGCUAAGUUCGUGCCAGCAGCCGCGGUAA